rnacentral:rRNA from 1 species
AUGUUAUGGAGUUGUGGUGCUCCUCCAAAGGUGUGUGUGUUUGCAUGGAAGGCAGCAAGGGGGGUGUUGGCUACAAAGGAAAAUAAACAAUGUAGACAAUUGGAGCAUGAUGGGAUUUGUACCAUAUGCGGUCAGGAAACAAAGUCAAAUUUUCAUGCACUGGUUCGAUGCCCACAUGCUCGUAACUUAUGGACUGCCAUGAGAUCAGUAUGGGACUUUCCAGCUGAUGAUCUUCUCAAAGGUACAGAACCAGAAUGGUUGCUGUUGUGUAUUCAGCAGCUCAAUGAGACACAAAGGUUGUUGUUGCUCAUGUUAUUAUGGUGUAUAUGGCAUGUCCGUAAUGAACUUACCCAUAACAAGACAAUCAUCCCGGUUGAGGCCUCGAAGAAAUUCCUAUGCAGCUAUAUGGAAUCGUUGCUACAGAUUAAACAACACCAGGGGGUGGAUGUGUUGAAGGGUAAACAUGUUGUUAUUUACUCAGGCCAGGCAAGUCAUAAGGGAGCUAGGACGACGUCGGUGGAGAUUGUAAACUGGAUUCCCCCACCAUGUGGUGUUUCCAAGCUAAACAUUGACGGAUCCUUCAUCCAAGCAGACGGAAUGGCGGGCGCUGGAAUGAUACUCAGAGACCAUAAGGGUACGGUAAUUUAUGCGGCUUGCGGGUCGCUCUUGAACUGCUCGGGUGCUCUUGAGGCUGAUCUUGCGGCAUGUGACGAGGGCCUAUGAUUAGCGCUACAAUUGACUGAACUACCACUUUAGGUGGAAAUGGAUUGCUCUUGA